rnacentral:tRNA from 1 species
GCCAGAGUAGCUCAGUAGGUUAGAGCGUGGGAUUCAUAAACCCAAGGUCGGCAGUUCGAUUCUGCCCUCUGGCA